GACGUAGGGCGCGAGCGUUGUCCGGAUUUAUUGGGCGUAAAGAGCUCGUAGGCGGCUCAGUAAGUCGGAUGUGAAAACUCGGGGCUCAACCCCGAGACGCCAUCCGAUACUGCUGUGGCUUGAGUCUGGUAGGGGAACACGGAAUUCCCGGUGUAGUGGUGAAAUGCGUAGAGAUCGGGAGGAACACCCGUGGCGAAGGCGGCUCACUGGGCUGACCUUGACGCUGAGGCGCGAAGGCGUGGGGAGCGAACGGG
rnacentral:rRNA from 1 species